UCCGAGUUGACCCCGGCAGUCUCCUGCGAGUCCCCGCCAUUACGCGCUGGCAACACAGGACAAGGGUUGCGCUCGUUGCUGGACUUAACCAAACACCUCACGGCACGAGCUGACGACAGCCAUGCAGCACCUGUGUAAAGGCCCCGAAGGGAGGUUCCAUUUCUGAAACUGUCCUCUACAUGUCAAGUCUGGGUAAGGUUCUUCGCGUUGCAUCGAAUUAAACCACAUGCUCCACUGCUUGUGCGGGUCCCCGUCAAUUCUUUUGAGUUUCACCCUUGCGAGCGUACUCCUCAGGCGGUAUACUUAACGCGUUAGCUCCGGCACAACCGGGGUUGAGCCCAGUUACACCAAGUAUACAUCGUUUAUGGCAAGGACUAC
rnacentral:misc_RNA from 1 species